rfam:Gossypium hirsutum cultivar TM-1 unplaced genomic scaffold scaffold190.1, whole genome shotgun sequence
CGUUAAAAAAUUCAUUCAUUUAUAUUGUUAAAAACUAGUGUGGUUGAUAGAAUAAUCAAACAGUGAUACAAGCGUGUCUUGUGUAUCUCAUGCUGAUGUAUAAGGACCAGUUUUUAAUAAUAGAAAUGAAUGGAAUUUUUAAGA